rnacentral:antisense_RNA from 1 species
GUAUACUCGCCGCAGUCAACCACCUGGGUUCUCAGGAUUUCAAGGCUGGAGAUAUACUUUGAAGAUCGAAUAGAACACUUGUCACUCUCAUAAAUUUCUCGGCCAGCUUUAAACCACUGGAACCGGACAUUGGGAGCACUUUGGAUCUCACAGCAUAUAAGUAUUAGAAGACAGGAUUCAAGUGUCUGCUGGCUGUAAAAAUACUGGAGAAACUCAUCUAUAGCAUGCAGAAUACAUAUUCAGUCAUUGUGUACAAUGCAGCUGUAUAGUCCUUGGUCUACCAGCUGAACAUUACAUAUGACUCAGGUUGGCUGUGCUUGAUACUUGGCCUACAGCAUUACUAGCAACAAACGUCUUCUUCCUUUGGUGAACUGAAUGAGGCACCAGGAUACACAUGAACUGCCACUGGACAUGAACUGCACACAAUAAAAACCCGGCAUUGAAAACGGGCUGGCUGCCCUUCAGAAGUGACAGUGUCCUGAAGUGGGGUGAUGAUGGCAGGUGGAUAAACAGGCAUUUCCUGAUC